AAGCAGGCAGGGCAGGGGGAAGCAGCUCUUCCUUUGUUUUGGAGACUCCCUCCAGGGCCCCGGAGAGUCAGGGCCAGGACAAGGCUAACGGUGGCCCCAAGGCUUACAGCAGACCUACACCAUGAAGACCUGAGUCACUGUUUUCCAGGGUGCCGCCUUGGACACUCAGCACCCUUCCUGGAUGGUUCAGAGACAGUCUCUCCCUCUUCCUCUCUAACAGUCCUUCCUGGCUCCUGGAUGUGAAACAAGAACUAUUUCACUUUCUUCUUAAUAAAUCUGCAUCAGUGAUGAUCAGAGUGUCAGAGACAAUAGGGAGAGGUGGGGACAGUGGCAAAUCAGACACUGCAAACCUUGUAUGAAGAGGGAAGCUGCUGCUUAGCCUGUUCCAUUUUUCCAGGGAGGGGCAGUAUUGGCAGACCUGAUUUCCAAAUAAUAAGCCAGAAUUCCAUAUUCUUUUUAAUGAGAAUGUUCUACAUUUAAGAAAGCUGUUGGUGUUUAAAGCAAUAAGCUAGAUAGAGUCACUGCUCUACCAGUUUGCAACCUAUAACACCAACAAAUGCCCAACCCUCCAAGGACAGAUGGCAUCCCACCUCCCAACAUGGAAGCUCUCCUGCUCCAAGCCCAGCCAGCCCGGCCCUGCACACAACAUACUCUCCCAGCUGCUCUGCAGGCUGCAGGGAGUUCAUGUGCCACUUCCAGGCUGACGUGACGGAAAUUGCAAGUCCAGGGUCUGCUGGGGAAACACUGGGGGCAAGUGGGGGUUGGGCCGGUGGGAGAGGGCAGCUGAGCCCUUGGAGGAGCUUCCAAAUGCUAAUUUCUCAGGAACAGGGGAAGAAGGAAGAUGGCAUAGCAACAGCUGGCUCUGGGCAGUGAGCAAUCCUGUAUGAAAAUAAACCUUUUACAAUCCACAACCGUGGCUCAUUAAGAAUGAACGGAUCUAUUGGUAUAAAUAGCAUGCUGCGUUAAGAAGUCAGGAAAUAGCAUAUGCGUUUGAUGGAAAAACGGCUGCCAUGGAACUGCUUAUUAGCUCAGUUGGCUGCAGUUCUGUGCUAAUGAGACAGAUCUAGGUUCAAACCUUUCAUGGGCCAUGUCGCUUUUGUGAUCUUGGGCCAUAGAAUGGAUCCUCGUCCCCUCAGCCCUGGUCACAACACUGGGGCAUAACUCCAGAUACACAGGAAGAAGCCCAUAGUGAGUUUCUCCCAGUGUCUGAACCAUAAUGCCCCUACUAUACUAUCCAGCCUCUGCUUGAAUGCUUCCAGUGACAGCAAGCUCACUACCUAGUCAGAUACAAAACACCCAAUUCUGUGGUUCAGUGGUUACUGAACAAGAAACCCAAACUGCCUCCAGCUGUGUCCCAGGUCUGCUUUUGGGGAAAGCAACCCUAGCUGGUCAUACCAUCUAUCAUGUCUGAUGGGAUACAGGCUAGAUGCAAAUAGGGCAGCCUGAGCAGAAAUGAGUUGGGCCAAUCAUUUCCUCCCUGAGUGUGGACUUGGACAUGGGGUCCUGAGAAGAAGGCCAGAUGCUGAGACUGAAGGGCUUGCAGACGUGAGGUGAGUGCCAGGUGCUGAGCAGGCAGAGGUGGAGGACGGAGCUCAUCCGGG